AAAGACCAAUCUCCUCUCUUUAAGAUUUUUUUCUUUUCGAGCAAUGCACUCGCAAGCCACCACUCAUUUCAUUGGACUAAUGGAAUGGGUGAUUUCCUCUUCAAGAAAGAUAUGAAGAACACAUGUUGGAGCCACUGCAGCCACCACCUUUGCUGCUGAUGAACACCGAGCUUUUGCUGUUUCUACGCUUUCGAGAAUGGUUCAAAUCAUCAUUGCGAGCAAAUAUGAUCAUUGAUAAGAUGGAGAGCCAUACGAUGAUCAUGCAGAAUAUCACAUCGCCGGUGCUGUGGUCUUCGAAAGCCAUUGCUAUGAUUUUUGUGACUCCUUAAGCUUGCUUUCUG
rnacentral:lncRNA from 1 species